rnacentral:rRNA from 1 species
UACGGGGGGGGCAAGCGUUGUUCGGAAUUACUGGGCGUAAAGCGCGCGUAGGCGGCUUUGCAAGUCGGGUGUGAAAUCCCCAGGCUUAACCUGGGAACUGCAUUCGAGACUGCAUUGCUAGAGUAUGGGAGAGGGAAGUGGAAUUUCCGGUGUAGCGGUGAAAUGCGUAGAUAUCGGAAGGAACAUCAGUGGCGAAAGCGACUUCCUGGACCAAUACUGACGCUCAUGUGCGAAAGCGUGGG